UAGGGAAUCUUCCACAAUGGGCGCAAGCCUGAUGGAGCAACACCGCGUGAGUGAAGAAGGGUUUCGGCUCGUAAAGCUCUGUUGUUGGAGAAGAACGUGCGUGAGAGUAACUGUUCACGCAGUGACGGUAUCCAACCAGAAAGUCACGGCUAACUACGUGCCAGCAGCCGCGGUAAUACGUAGGUGGCAAGCGUUAUCCGGAUUUAUUGGGCGUAAAGCGAGCGCAGGCGGUUACUUAGGUCUGAUGUGAAAGCCUUCGGCUUAACCGAAGAAGGGCAUCGGAAACCGGGCGACUUGAGUGCAGAAGAGGACAGUGGAACUCCAUGUGUAGCGGUGGAAUGCGUAGAUAUAUGGAAGAACACCAGUGGCGAAGGCGGCUGUCUGGUCUGCAACUGACGCUGAGGCUCGAAAGCAUGGGUAGCGAACA
rnacentral:rRNA from 1 species